AAGUCGUAACAAGGUUUCCGUAGGUGAACCUGCGGAAGGAUCAUUAUCAAUGGACCCUAAACAACACCGUGCACAGGGCGAUAAUCGCCCAAAUCACUACAUAAUAACAGCAACAGAGUCAUUUUAUAGACAACUUUUAGCAACGGAUCUCUAGGUUCUC
rnacentral:misc_RNA from 1 species